GAUGAACGCUGGCGGCGUGCCUAAUACAUGCCAGUCGAGCGAACGGACGAGGAGCUUGCUUCUCUGAUGUUAGCGGCGGACGGGUGAGUAACACGUGGAUAACCUACCUAUAAGACUGGGAUAACUUCGGGAAACCGUAGCUAAUACCGGAUAAUAUUUUGAACCGCAUGGUUCAAAAGUGAAAGACGGUCUUGCUGUCACUUAUAGAUGGAUCCGCGCUGCAUUAGCUAGUUGGUAAGGUAACGGCUUAUCAAGGCAACGAUGCAUAGCCGACCUGAGAGGGUGAUCGGCCACACUGGAACUGAGACACGGUCCAGACUCCUACGGGAGGCAGCAGUAGGGAAUCUUCCGCAAUGGGCGAAAGCCUGACGGAGCAACGCCGCGUGAGUGAUGAAGGUCUUCGGAUCGUAAAACUCUGUUAUUAGGGAAGAACAUAUGUGUAAGUAACUGUGCACAUCUUGACGGUACCUAAUCAGAAAGCCACGGCUAACUACGUG
rnacentral:rRNA from 1 species